GGAGAGGUGGCAGAGUGGUCGAAUGUACCUGACUCGAAAUCAGGCGUACGUGUAAGCGUACCGAGGGUUCGAAUCCCUCCCUCUCCG
rfam:Luteibacter sp. TNCMF366Tsu5.1 genome assembly, contig: FG06DRAFT_scaffold00001.1